AACCUAGCACACCUGCGGUGUGUACCUGCGGAAGGAUCAUUACUGAGUGUAAAAACUCCCAAACCCACUGUGAACAUACCACUGUUGCUUCGGCGGAUGCGCCCCGGGCGCGCCCUACAAAGGCGUGCCCCGGAUCAAGGCCACCGCCGGGGGACCGAAACUCUUGUUUUCCUAAGGAUUCUCUGAGUGUGAUUAUUAAAUCAAAUCAAAACUUUUAACAACGGAUCUCAGAUCGGAAGA
rnacentral:misc_RNA from 1 species